rnacentral:rRNA from 1 species
AUGCUCUCUCAAGGUUUGAAAAGGUCUAAUUAUGAUAGUUGUGUUUAUUUGAAAACUGUCAAUGGUUCAACUAUUUAUUUGCUCCUUUAUGUUGAUGAUAUGCUAAUUGCUGCAAAGAGUAUGUCAGAGAUUAAUGAACUAAAGAAGCAAUUGAGUAAUGAAUUUGAGAUGAAGGAUUUGGGUGCAGGAAAGAAAAUACUUGGCAUCGAAAUAUCCAGAGAUAGACCGUCUGGAAAAGUAUAUCUAAGUCAGAAGGGAUAUAUUGAUAAAGUUCUUCAUCGUUUUAAUAUGCAUAAUGCCAAGCCAGUAAGUACUCCGUUAGCUGCACACUUCAAAUUGUCAUCAGUUUUAUGUCCUAAGUCAGAUGCAGAUAUUGAGUACAUGUCUAGAGUUCCCUAUUCGAGUGCAGUUGGUUCACUUAUGUAUGCCAUGGUUUGUUCUCGUCCAGAUUUAUCUUAUGCAUUGAGUGUUGUCAGUAGAUACAUGGCUAAUCUUGGAAAAGAGCAUUGGAAAGCAGUUUAG